CAUAGCGACUAUCGUGGCAUAUCAAUAAGCGGAGGAAAAGAAACUAACAAGGAUUCCCUUAGUAACGGCGAGUGAAGCGGGAAGAGCUCAAAUUUGAAAUCUUCAAGGUUCUACCUUGACGAAUUGUAGUUUAAUAGAAGUGUUUUCUGUUAGUAGGAGUGGCAAAAGUUCUUUGGAAUAGGACAUCAUAGAGGGUGAGAAUCCCGUAUUUGGUCAUUCUUCCUAGCUUUGUGAUACACUUUCAACGAGUCGGAUUGUUUGGGAAUGCAGUCCAAAAUGGGUGGUAAAUUUCAUCUAAAGCUAAAUAUUGGCGAGAGACCGAUAGCGAACAAGUACCGUGAGGGAAAGAUGAAAAGAACUUUGAAAAGAGAGUUAAACAGUACGUGAAAUUGUCAAAAGGGAAGCGUUUGACACCAGUGUUGUUUUCUCGAAAAUCAAUUAAAAAUGAUGGGAUUUUGUGUUGUAUUGACUUUAUCAGCUUUCUGCACUUUUUUCUUAUCUUUUUUAAUGCACUUUUCGUUUAACAAGUCAACAUCAAUUUCUUUUGUUGUAAAAGAGUCAUUGGAAGGUGGCUUUUUCUUCGGAAAAAGUGUUUAUAGCCUUUGGCUUCUGCAAUCGGAGAGAUUGAGGUCUGCAGCGUAGAUCCUUCGGGGUUAGAUACACUUGUGCUAAGCUAUAGUUCUUUAUAGACAACUUGUUGACUAUAAUCAAUCCUGUAACUUACUCGCUUAUGCUAUUUUACCUACGCUUAGGAUGUUGACGAGACUGUCGAUCUC
rnacentral:rRNA from 1 species